ACGGGAGGCAGCAGUGGGGGAUAUUGCACAAUGGGGGAAACCCUGAUGCAGCGACGCCGCGUGAGUGAAGAAGUAUUUCGGUAUGUAAAGCUCUAUCAGCAGGAAAGAAAAUGACGGUACCUGACUAAGAAGCCCCGGCUAACUACGUGCCAGCAGCCGCGGUAAUACGUAGGGGGCAAGCGUUAUCCGGAUUUACUGGGUGUAAAGGGAGCGUAGACGGUAAUGCAAGUCUGAAGUGAAAUGCGGGGGCUCAACCCCUGAACUGCUUUGGAAACUGUAAUACUAGAGUGCAGGAGAGGUAAGUGGAAUUCCUAGUGUAGCAGUGAAAUGCGUAUAUAUUAGGAGGAACACCAGUGGCGAAGGCGGCUUACUGGACUGUAACUGACGUUGAGGCUCGAAAGCGUGGGGAGCAAACAGGAUUAGAUACCCUGGUA
rnacentral:rRNA from 1 species